AGAGCAAGUGUGGUUAUGGACUUGAUUACCUUGCAACCUUAAAAACAAAUAAACCAGCUUGAGUCUUUUUCUUACCAUGGUGGGUUCCUGUUAGGCAAGAACUGCAACUCCAUGAGCAAGUUGUCCCAACACCACAGGGGCAGACCUUCAUCACAUAGCAACUCCCAAAAUGGGAAUUGGAGUGGAUUUUAGAACACAGUCAGCUAACAUUGAGAACAUCAUGGUUGUAGGCAAAACUUUCCGUUCCUCUAUUUGUCUCUCUGCUCCGUUCUUGGGUCCAUAUUCUCCUACACAUUUUGGAUGCUUGAAAUACUGAUUGGUGAGAAAAAGAAGGCUCAGGGCAUUCCUGCUUGAAAUGUGGAUUCUUAGCCACCUCCUCUGUAAAAGCUACUACUCAUCCCCUCAAUUGCCUCUUGCUUUUAAGAAUGUCCUCAUGCAUUCGAACUUUUCACUUCAGCUUGUUUUGCUUCUCUCUGCUCAGAUCCAUAUUCCUCCACACAGUCGUGUCAGAGAUUUAUCACACUAUGACCUCAGUCAUAUCCUCCUUUAAAAGGAGUCAAACACAAACUUCACAAAGCCUCUAAUAUUCUAGGUGUUCAGCAGGAAGACUGGAACAUGAAAUUCCUCCCACUUGGAGCACACCCACAUAAAUGUUUCUCUAAAAUCUAUUUAUCUUAGUCACGACCUAUGAACACGAAUAGAAUGUAGUGAAUGUUCCCUGUCUCUCGUGUGCCUGAGCACUGGGAAAAGUUAGAAUUUAUACAGUUGUAAUUUCUAGGGAGGAGUGCAACAACUUCACAUUUUUUUAAACAGAAUCAUUUAAGAAGGAGAGCAUUUUAAAUGUGUCCCUUCUCUUUCGCACCAUUUAAAAAGAUCUCUGCAUCUCAAUGUGGUUCUUCUGCUAUCAGAUAUGUGGCUGAUUUUGUGAUUGUUAGAUUAAGAAAAAUGGAAAAUCUGACAGCACAUGAUUCCACAAAUGAAUGAUACACAUACAAUAAUAGGUAAGUACUCACCAUGAGUAAAACAAACAAAUAUAUACAGAAAAGGAAACAGUGAUCCUUUGAGGACUGAAGAUAAGAGCUUCAUUACUUACAGUAGGGUUCCUGAUGGGAUUGGGUUCCACCAAUCAGAGCCACUUGCAUGAGACCUCAACUGAGAGCCAGGAUGUCAUCUCCACCAGAACAAGGACUACGUUUUGUAUGUUGCUGUUCCGUUAGUGCCAGAACAUGCCCACCCCUGCUCAGUAAAUAAGCGUUAAGUGAAUGAAUUAAUAAGUGAAAGGCUGUGUUUGAAGAGGAGGGGCUCACUCUAAAUCUUGAAGAUGUUCAGCCUCGAAAAAGUAGAAGUCAUUGUGACCAAAGAUGAUGCCACCAUGCCUUUGAAAAAGAAAGGUGAUGAGCCUCAAAUGGAAAAAUACAUUCAAGAAAGGUCAAUGCUACCACCAUUCCCCUCUGCCCCUCCACUCCUGAGGCCAUCAUGAUGAAGCCAGUGGGAACUCCAGUGGAAGGACCCAGACAGGAAUAAGAUCACCUGGGCCUUCACCUUCCUUCACCGACCGAGAGCUCUUCUCUUCCUGCGCUUUUAUUUUAAUCUAGGACAUCCCCUCACUUGGCUCCUAGAGGCCCUGUUUCAUUUAAUUUGGCCUCCUUGCCCAAGCAGAAUCCUGGGCAAGCCUGGGAACCUAAUACCCUGAAUUCAAAUGAAGUUGCCUGGAGGAAACUGAAUGAAUCAGGUAGCUAAGAUUUGGCCUAACGUUGAUCUAUUUUUGGCCAAAGCCAACCUCCACUAAUAGGUCUCUACUAAUAGACUUGCAAAGAUGGAGCUCUGAAUCAAUGCUAAACAAGAGUUAUAAAUCAUGAAGACGUUUGCUGUCUUUUUACCUCCCAGGGAUGGGAGUGAAUGGGAGAGGACUCUGACCAUGAAGCGCUCUAAUCUAAACUCGGAGAAAAUUCUCCCAGCCAUUCUUCUGCUCACAGAAUUUCCGCGGCACCAGUCUCCCUGCAGCUUUGACAAGUGAGCUAUUUUAGUAUGAGAACAAGUAGAGUUAUUGUUAUCUCUGCUCUGAAUCAAGGAUAAAAAGAAAAGGUGAGCGGGAGAAGGAGGGUGUGAGAGAGAAGAACUGGGGGUGAGGUGCGGAAAAGCAGAAAGGACUUCAGAUACCGAAAGAAAAGGAGCCAGGUGCUCUUCCCGGCAAGGAAGUCACCAGCCGGCCGGUUUGUGGAUUGAAAUCAGCACGUGACCCCUCAGCAACCAUAGUAACAGUCCCUCCCUCUGGUCUCACAGGGCUCUGGAGGGGUGAAGACAGCACGAUACAUGCCAAGGUGCCUUGUCAGUGGUGAAGUGUUGUCUACACAGGGUGGCAGCUCCCUGUUUGACCAGGGAGCUACUGCGCCUUUCCCACAACCCCACCCAAAGACUCAGGACGGCCCAGGCCAGAAGGAAAUUUAGACAGUAGACCCUCCGUCAGCAGAUACCUUUCCCUGCUCUUCCUACCGGGUCACCUAGACCCUUAACAAGGGUGCUAUUUUAGCAAGAAACUGAAAAUAAAAAGAGAAUCUGCCCUCCGAACAUGCUGAACACUUAUUUUAGCACACAGCCCCAUGGAGGGUCAGCGCUCCACGCAUGUUUUAAAGCGUUUGUGCCUAUUUAUUUUGAGACCGGCAGGGCCUGAGUGAGCCACAGCUUCCUGGAUUCUGCUUUGUCAGCAAGGAAGAUUUGCUGCCAUAGAUAUGCUGAGCUCCCUCUGGGGCCCCCCUUCUCCUGGAAUCUGACUGAGAUGAGAAGUUUAUCCCAGCACUUAAAUGAAGAGACUUCCUCCAGCUCCCACUUCUGCCUCACCCCUCCGCCUACCACUGACAAACAGGCCUGGCUGCAAGGUGUGCGUGUCACCAGGACCUGGCCACCAGAGGGCGACAGAGAGCAAUGAGGGUCGAACAGUUUCCCAGAAGGAGCCAAAUCCCCUGACACAUCUGCUCCCUCCUCCAGCCCAAAAACUGCCAGACUUGCUAGCAUUUGCCAGUCCACCGAAACAAACAUCUCACCUUCAUCGUACAGUUCCUUGGUAAACUCUUAUUUUCUUCUUUAUCAAGUUUGGAUGGAAAACAAAACAAUUAAUUUUAAGAGCAGCACACAAGAACCUAAACA
rnacentral:lncRNA from 1 species